rnacentral:rRNA from 1 species
UACACUCCUGCGGGAGGCAGCAGUGGGGAAUAUUGCACAAUGGGCGCAAGCCUGAUGCAGCCAUGCCGCGUGUAUGAAGAAGGCCUUCGGGUUGUAAAGUACUUUCAGCGGGGAGGAAGGCAAUACGGUUAAUAACCGUGUUGAUUGACGUUACCCGCAGAAGAAGCACCGGCUAACUCCGUGCCAGCAGCCGCGGUAAUACGGAGGGUGCAAGCGUUAAUCGGAAUUACUGGGCGUAAAGCGCACGCAGGCGGUCUGUCAAGUCGGAUGUGAAAUCCCCGGGCUCAACCUGGGAACUGCAUUCGAAACUGGCAGGCUUGAGUCUUGUAGAGGGGGGUAGAAUUCCAGGUGUAGCGGUGAAAUGCGUAGAGAUCUGGAGGAAUACCGGUGGCGAAGGCGGCCCCCUGGACAAAGACUGACGCUCAGGUGCGAAAGCGUGGGGAGCAAACAGGAUUAGAUACCCUAGUAGUCCCAUGA